AAAGUCAAAACCGAAAAGUACACUUGAUGGUGAUGGGUUGCUUGGUUUUUUGUAAAAGUUCUUACACUUUUCUUACACAAGUACAAUUGUGUAAGAAAAUGUGUAAGAUAGGUAGUUAAAAAUGCACAAAACCAGAUAAAUGUGCAAUUAUUGUAAGAUGAUUGACGUAUAAUGCCCUAAGUUUGAAAAUAAUGAAGGUAAGUUUGUGUAUAAUAAAACAGUAAUACGAGGAUGACAAAAAUUGUACUUUAAGUAUAUUUGGAAACAAAAAAAAUUAUGAACCUAAUGUAUACAUUAUCCGCCAGUAAAACAUAGCCGCUAGCAUUAGCCGCCGGGUUUAAAA
rnacentral:lncRNA from 1 species